ACCAGAUGGAGACAUUUCACUCGCUCUCUCACACUCGCCGGCGGUCCCAUACACAAAUUUAAUACCUCCUUUUCGAAAAUUCAAGACAUUCCAGACAAUUUAAGACUUUUUUAGGCCUUAAAAACCGAAAGUUGUAUUUAAGACUUUUUAAGGACCCGCGGGAACCCUGCACUGGCUGGUCUGGGCUG